CGGACGGGUGAGUAACACGUGAGCAACCUGCCUUUCAGAGGGGGAUAACGUUUGGAAACGAACGCUAAUACCGCAUAACAUACCGGGGCCGCAUGAUUCUGGUAUCAAAGGAGCAAUCCGCUGAAAGAUGGGCUCGCGUCCGAUUAGCUAGUUGGCGGGGUAACGGCCCACCAAGGCGACGAUCGGUAGCCGGACUGAGAGGUUGAUCGGCCACAUUGGGACUGAGACACGGCCCAG
rnacentral:rRNA from 1 species